CUGGGAUUAAAUUCAUGGGCCACUACUGCCCUGCCCUAACCAUGCUUUUAUAUAAAGUUAAAUUAUAUAAUCUAGCACGUCUAUCCCAUGUAAACUUCAGGAAACCUGCCAUGUUCCCAUCCAGUGUGCUCUCUCAUCCUGUUCCAUAGGCUUUACUCUAGCCAGCAGGAAGUAACUUUGGCUAAAUCCCCAUGUGCUACGGAUAUACCUCAAUUUAAAUCAACUAAAAUCAAAUAUAACUAUAUUAAAUUGUGAAAUCAUGAUGCUGUGUUGGACCGCACAAACAAGAAUAUGCCCAGUGUGGGGGGACAUUGAUAUGGAGAGUGGUAUUUGGCAGUUCAGUGCUCUCCGUUAACAUUGGUCCUUGUGUCAUGCUAGGAGAUUCUAAUACAACUGAGUUCAUCCCUGCUCAGCGCCCUGCUUUCCUCCUUCCUUUUUCCAGUUUGGAUUGAGAUGCUGAAGUCGCAUCUUCGUGGGUAGUCUGCUUGAGUUCAAUCUCCAGUUUCCAACUUAUUAGCCUUCCUUUGCCUGGGUAUGGCUUCUUUUCUAUGAACAUGAAACCUUCUUAGAACAGAAUUUAUCAACUAUAUUGUGAAUGCCAGGGGAGUGUGUGCAUUUUAUGGAUAUCCUUGCAUCUGUCCUUCACUUACUUAUCUUCAUACUAGUUUGUUUAUAUGGUGGAUUUUCAUAUAUUGAACCAACCCUGUAUCUCUGGGAUGAAGACUACUUGAUCAUGGUGGAUGAUUUUUUUUAUAUAAUCUUGGAUUCAGUUUGCCAGUAUUUUACUGAGCAUUUUUCAUCAAUGUUCAUGAGGAAAAUUGGUCUGUAGUUCUCUUUCUUUUCUGUCUCUGUAGUUUUAUUGCUGAGGGUUGAAUGUAGUUUUAGAAAGGAAUCAUUGUUGAUAGGCAACAUUCCAUCUUUCAUUGUUCUUAUUAAAAGAACAUUACCAUUUGAGUAUAUCCAAAUAAGAUUCUGUCAUUAUAAGCACAUUCAUAAUUAUUGUGGUUGGAAGUUUUAGAAUUGUCUAAGGGAAUGCAUUCAGAAAUAACUGUGGGAAAUUUCCCUGGUAUUUCUUUAAUUAGCCAAGAAUUACUCUUUUUUAUCUUCUUAUUUUCCUUCAUUCUUUUGGCUGCCCAGAAAACAUUUUUCAUGGAUGGGUCUCUGGUGACAACAGAAAUUAGAUCUGCACAUUCAUUUCUUCAGAAAAGUUAGACUGAAGAAGAAAAAAAAAAAAGAUGCAAGCUGCUUCCUGCUGUGAGACAGCUUUAGUCUCCUGAAUUUUUGGUGCAGUUGUUAUAAAACAGAGGAAAAUCGAUCAUGUGUUCUUUGGAGAGAAACAACUCAAACUCAUCAUGUCCUUCAAAAGCAUCAUAAAAUUCUGUGAAUCAGCAGCUCAUUUUACGCAUAAUAGUAUUCAUUGUAUUUACUGUCAACACUGGUUUAAUUUUUACCUUGUUGUUGUUUAUCAGCUCAAUUCAUGUUUCCUGUGUUGUUGCAACUUCUUGGCCUUUCUGGGGGUGGGGGUGAUACUCGGGAGUUUCAUAUAUUUUCAGAACCAUUCUUACGAGCUUGGGGAGAUUCUUCAGUGGAUAAAGCCUUUGCGUAUGUAUGAGAACCUGUCUUCUGACUACAUGGAACCCACAUCAAUGCCAGGGAGGUGGGUGGCCCACCUAUAAUUUCCACCUCAGAAGAAAGAGGCAGGAAUUUCCCAGAGCAAGCUGUCUAACAAGACUAUAUUUGACUGAAAGACAGUAAGUUCAUCACCAAAUAAAGGGAAAGAUGUAUAGAAGAAGAGUUUCAAUGUCAACCCUGUGUCUCCACAUGCAUGUGUGUGUGCCUAUAGACAACUAUGUCC
ensembl:lncRNA